rnacentral:rRNA from 1 species
CCUACGGGUGGCAGCAGUGGGGAAUAUUGGGCAAUGGAGGCAACUCUGACCCAGCAACGCCGCGUGCAUGAUGAAGGUCUUCGGAUUGUAAAGUUCUGUGAUGGGGGAUGAACACAAUGACGGUACCCCAAUAGCAAGCCACGGCUAACAACGUGCAAGCAGCCGCGGUAAUACGUGGGUGGCAAGCGUUAUCCGGAAUGAGGGGGCGUAAGGGUGCGUAGGGGGUUUAGUAAGUUGGUGGUGUAAUUCCGGGGGUCAACCUCGGCGCUACCGCCAAAACUGUUAGUCUUGAGUGCAGGAGGGGUAAGUGGAAUUCCUAGUGUAGCGGUGGAAUGCGUAGAUAUUAGGAGGAACAUCGGGGGCGAAGGCGACUUACUGGACUGUAACUGACGCUGAGGCACGAAAGCGUGGGGAGCAAACAGGAUUAGAUACCCGUGUAGUC